AACUGGCUGCAAUAUGAAGAUGAAAAGUGCAUUUGAUUAUGGCUGUUGUAUACUUCUGACUUUAAAAUCAAUAAAGUGAUAAAAUCUGCUGAACCUCUCAAAUCUAUUUGGAAACUAUUUUUUGUUAGAGUGCUGCAUUCUUACAAUAAGCUUAUUUUACGUUUAAUGGUUUUAAACUUAGCUUAUUUGUUCAUAAAAAAUUCAGUUUUAAUUUUUAUUAUCUUAAAAACACGUGUGAAAUUGCUAAUUCCAAGUUGGAUAUUGCAGAGGACUGCUCAGAACUUCCGACAGAAUCAGAUAUUGAUGCAAAAAAAAGGAAAGCGGAAAGGUUAAUUUUUUUAUUCUAACUUCAAUUUAUUUGAUUAUUUCAGUUAAUUGUUAACAUGAUGUUUAAAAUUAUGCUAUGUGUAACAAUAUUCUAUGUUAUGGUGUUCAUUUUAUCUAUUGGUAAUAUAAAAUUUAUCUAUUGUUAAUAUAAAAGUUUGUUUUUUCAAUAGAUGAAAAAAAUACCAAAACAUAAUAACCCUAUAACACAACAGUAGUCUCUGAAAUAAAAAGGGUUAAAAACUAAUUUAGGUCAUUACCAGUUUUAUGGAAUGAAUUGUGUAAUUUAGAUUCCGAUUAUACAAAAUCUGAAAAUGGAAAGAAGUUUUCCGUAUCAAUUUCAACCUCAAACCUGAAGUUUCCUACUCCUCCUCAGUUGCAAUCCGAAAUUCAAAAUGGGCCUCUUCAAAAUGCAUCAUCUACUAUCUACUCUCUCUCUCGUCAUUAUUUUUAAACGAUUUAUCUUUUAGUAAAUAAGGUUGGUUAACACUUUUUUUUUUAACUUGAAAGUUUUACAAUUUUUAAAGUUUAAAUUAUGGUUUGCAAACUGUCUGGUUGUAUAUGUGUGGUUGAAAAAAUAAGCUUAAAUAAUAAAUAGACAACCAAACUACACUACCAUCAUCGAUAUUAGCGCCAGUGCUUACUAUAGCACUGCAAGUAGAGCGGUUAUCACCUGAUUUGGUCAAUUGUUAUGUUGGAGGAAAUGAUCAUCGAAAACUAAUAUUAUUAGAAGAGAUUAAACAAAAUAAUCAAACUAUAACUUUUCUUCUGCAACAAUUAUCAGCACAACAGCAGCGUGGUAAUAAAGAAACAAGUUUUGAUGAGUUUGGGCUUCCUGUUUCAUUAAUGGAACAUUUACAAAAACUAGAAACA